rnacentral:pre_miRNA from 20 species
AAUGCGCAGCUACAGCUGGUUGAAGGGGACCAAAUCCAUCCAACAGCUGAUUUGGUUCCAUUUUACCAGCUUCAGCAAAGCAUUUGG